CAAGGAAUUUUGCGCAAUGGGCGAAAGCCUGACGCAGCGACGCCGCGUGGGGGAUGACGGCCUUCGGGUUGUAAACCCCUUUUCUCGAGGAAGAAAUAUGACGGUACUCGAGGAAUAAGUCUUGGCUAACUACGUG
rnacentral:rRNA from 1 species